GAACUGAAGAGUUUGAUCCUGGCUCAGAUUGAACGCUGGCGGCAUGCUUUACACAUGCAAGUCGAACGGCAGCGCGGGGCAACCUGGCGGCGAGUGGCGAACGGGUG
rfam:Massilia sp. KIM NODE_3_length_528991_cov_158.18_ID_1162, whole genome shotgun sequence.